CUGAAGAUUGUUGAUCAAUUGUUGACUUUGAGAGAAAUAGGUGAACCUGCGGAAGGAUAUUAA
rnacentral:rRNA from 1 species